rnacentral:rRNA from 1 species
CAUAGUGGUAUCCUGAGUAGCGCGAGCACGAGGAAUUCUGCGUGAAUCGCCGGGACCAUCCGGUAAGGCUAAAUACUCCCGAGAGACCGAUAGUGAACCAGUACCGUGAGGGAAAGGUGAAAAGCACCCCUAGCAGGGGAGUGAAAUAGUCCCUGAAACCAUGCGCCUACAAGCGGUCGGAGCUGCUGUUGCAGUGACGGCGUGCCUUUUGCAUAAUGAGCCUACGAGUUGCCAUGUCCGGCAAGGCUAAGGGCGAGUACGCCCGCAGCCGCAGUGAAAGCGAGCCUGAAGAGGGCGCUUGGUCGGAUGGGGCAGACGCGAAACCAAGUGAUCUACGCAUGGCCAGGCUGAAGUCCCGGUAACACGGGAUGGAGGGCCGCACGGAUAAGCGUUGAAAAGCUUCCCGAUGAGCUGUGCGUAGGAGUGAAAGGCCAAUCAAACUUGGAGAUAGCUCGUACUCCCCGAAAGGCAUUUAGGUGCCGCGUCGGAUGUUCACCGCGGGAGGUAGAGCGACCGAUAGGACGAGAGGGCUUCGCCGCCUGUCGAGUCCUGACGAACUCCGAAUGCCCGCGGUCCGCAGUCCGGCAGUAAGGGGGCGGGUGCUAAGGUCCGUCCCCGAGAGGAGAAGAAUCCUGACCGUCGUCUAAGGUCCCGAAAUUCUGUCUGAGUUAGUCUAACGAGGUCUGGUCUCAGUGACAGCUAGGAUGUUGGCUUGGAAGCAGCCAUUCAUUCAAAGAGUGCGUAACAGCUCACUAGUCGAGAGACCGGGCAUGGAUAAUAAUCGGGUAUGAAGUCAGAUACCGAAGGCGCGGGGUAGCAAUUUUAUAAAAGUACCGGUAGGGGAGCAUUCCACCUCCGCCGAAUGGUUUCCGCGAGGAUUCCUGGAGGGCGUGGAAAAGCAAAUGUAGGCAUAAGUAACGACUAGGGGCGUGAGAACCGCCCCCGCCGCAAGUCCAAGGUUUCCCGGGCGAUGCCAGUCAGCCCGGGGUCAGUCGGGUCCUAAGGCUCAGCCGAACGGCGAUGCCGAUGGCAGACACGGUCAACAUUCCGUGACCCGCCCGUGGAGCGACGUGGAGACGGAGCAGUGACACCACCGCGCCCUGACGGAACAGGGCGUUGAAGGCCGUAGGCGCCGAGGAGGGCAGGCAAAUCCACCCUCCGAGCUGAAAGCCGACAGUACGCUUCCUCCCCCGGGAGGCGGCGACAGCGUGGGUAAUCAUACUCCCGAGAAAAUCCGCUAAGCACAUCCACUGGCGGCCCGUACCGCAAUCCGACACAGGUGGACGGGUAGAACAUACUGAGGCGUUGGGAGAUUCAUGGCUAAGGAACUAGGCAAACUGACCCCGUAACUUCGGGACAAGGGGUCCUCACGUCUACGUGAGGCGCAGAGAAUAGGCCCAGGCAACUGUUUAGCAAAAACACAGGGCUGUGCGAACUCGAAAGAUGAGGUAUACAGCCUGACACCUGCCCGGUGCCGGAAGGUUAAGAGGAGGAGUCAGCCCCUUUGCGGGUGAAGCCCCGAGUUGAAGCCCCGGUAAACGGCGGCCGUAACUAUAACGGUCCUAAGGUAGCGAAAUUCCUUGUCGGGUAAGUUCCGACCUGCACGAAUGGUGUAAUGAUCCGGGCGCUGUCUCGGCCAUGAUCCCAGUGAAAUUGUAGUAUCGGUGAAGAUGCCGAUUACCCGCGAUGGGACGAAAAGACCCCGUGAACCUUUACUACAGCUUAGCGCUGACCUUGGUCAUCCGAUGUGUAGGAUAGGCCGGAGGCUUCGAAGCGGGGACGCCAGUCUUCGUGGAGCCGCCCUUGAAAUACGGCCCUU